rnacentral:rRNA from 1 species
AUGAACGCUAGCGACAGGCCUAACACAUGCAAGUCGAGGGGCAGCACAAGGAGCAAUCUGAGGUGGCGACCGGCGCACGGGUGAGUAACACGUAUGCAACCUGCCUGUAAGCGGGGAUAACCCGUUGAAAGACGGACUAAUACCGCAUAAAACUGGGAAUCUGCAUGGAUAUUUCAGUUAAACAUUUAUGGCUUACAGAUGGGCAUGCGCAUGAUUAGAUAGUUGGAGAGGUAACGGCUCCCCAAGUCAACGAUCAUUAGGGGUUCUGAGAGGAAGGUCCCCCACACUGGUACUGAGACACGGACCAGACUCCUACGGGAGGCAGCAGUGAGGAAUAUUGGUCAAUGGGCGAGAGCCUGAACCAGCCAAGUCGCGUGCAGGAAGAAUGUCCUAUGGAUUGUAAACUGCUUUUGCAGGGGAAUAAAGUGCGGCACGUGUGCCGUUUUGUAUGUACUCUGCGAAUAAGGAUCGGCUAACUCCGUG